AAACCGUACUCAGUUCGGAUUGUAGUCUGCAACUCGACUACAUGAAGCUGGAAUCGCUAGUAAUCGCGAAUCAGAAUGUCGCGGUGAAUACGUUCCCGGGUCUUGUACACACCGCCCGUCACACCAUGGGAGUCGGGAAUGCCCGAAGUCAGUGACCCAACCGGAAGGAGGGAGCUCGCCGAAGGCAGGCUCGAUAACUGGGGUGAAGUCGUAACAAGGUAAC
rnacentral:rRNA from 1 species